rnacentral:rRNA from 1 species
AGCAUAUCAAUAAGCGGAGGAAAAGAAACCAACCGGGAUUGCCUCAGUAACGGCGAGUGAAGCGGCAAGAGCUCAAAUUUGAAAGCUGGCCCCUCCGGGGUCCGCAUUGUAAUUUGCAGAGGAUGCUUCGGGCUCAGCCCCCGUCUAAGUGCCCUGGAACGGGCCGUCGGAGAGGGUGAGAAUCCCGUCUGGGACGGGGUGCCUGGGUCCAUGUGAAGCUCCUUCGACGAGUCGAGUUGUUUGGGAAUGCAGCUCUAAAUGGGUGGUAAAUUUCAUCUAAAGCUAAAUACUGGCCGGAGACCGAUAGCGCACAAGUAGAGUGAUCGAAAGAUGAAAAGCACUUUGAAAAGAGAGUUAAACAGCACGUGAAAUUGUUGAAAGGGAAGCGCUUGCGAUCAGACUCGCCUGCGGGGUUCAGCCGGCAUUCGUGCCGGUGUACUUCCCCGUGGGCGGGCCAGCGUCGGUUCGGGUGGCCGGUCAAAGGCCCCGGGAAUGUGUCGCCCUCCGGGGCGUCUUAUAGCCCGGGGUGCCAUGCGGCCUACCUGGACCGAGGAACGCGCUUCGGCUCGGACGCUGGCGUAAUGGUCGUAAGCGACCCGUCUUGAAACACGGACCAAGGAGUCUAACAUCUACGCGAGUGUUUGGGUGGCAAACCCAUACGCGCAGUGAAAGCGAACGGAGGUGGGAACCCUUCGGGGCGCACCAUCGACCGAUCCUGAUGUCUUCGGAUGGAUUUGAGUAAGAGCGUAGCUGUGGGGACCCGAAAGAUGGUGAACUAUGCCUGAAUAGGGCGAAGCCAGAGGAAACUCUGGUGGAGGCUCGCAGCGGUUCUGACGUGCAAAUCGAUCGUCAAAUUUGGGUAUAGGGGCGAAAGACUAAUCGAACCAUCUGGUAGCUGGUUCUGC